GGCUUGUUGAUUAUAAUUUCAGGUUUGGCCUGCCCAAUGAGUAGUUUAAUGGCCGCGGUAUAUUAACCGUGCAAAGGUAGCAUAAUCAUUAGUUUUUUAAUUGGAAGCUUGAAUGAAAGGUUUGAUGAGAAAGUAGCUGUCUCUGGAAAAGUUGGUUAGAAUUUUAUUUUUAAGUGAAAAAGCUUAAAUAUAUAUAGAAGACGAGAAGACCCUAUAGAGUUUUAUAUUUUGACAAAAAGAGUGAUAUUGAGGAGUAUUAGAGUUAGUCUUUUUAAAAAUAUUUUGUUGGGGUGAUAGGAAAAUUGAAUGAACUUUUCUUGCAUGGAAACAUUGAUUUAUGAGUUUAUGAUCCUGAAGUUUAGAUUAAAAGAUUAAAUUACCUUAGGGAUAACAGCGUAAUUUUUUUUAGAGUUCUUAUCGAAAAAAAAGAUUGCGACCUCGAUGUUGGAUUAAAGUUAAUUGUUGGUGUAGGAGCUAGUAUAUUAGGUCUGUUCGACCUUUAAAAUUUUACAUGAUCUGAGUUUAAACCGGUGUGAC
rnacentral:rRNA from 1 species